AGUUGAGCGAGGUGAUGGACUUCGGUCUGUUACCUAGCAGCGAACGGUCGCGUAACACGUAAGCAACCUGCCUCGAAGUUUGGGAUAGCCCUCCGAAAGGAGGAGUAAUACCGGAUGUGGAUACAUUUAGACAUCUUUAUGUAUCUAAAGCAGCAAUGCGCUUCGAGAUGGGCUUGCGGCCUAUCAGCUAGUUGGUGAGGUAACGGCCCACCAAGGCGACGACGGGUAGCUGGUCUGAGAGGAUGAUCAGCCGGAUUGGGACUGAGAUACGGCCCAGACUCCUGCGGGGGGCAGCAAUUAGGAAUCUUGCGCAAUGGGCGAAAGCCUGACGCAGCGACGCCGCGUGACUGAUGAAGUCUUUCGGGAUGUAAAGGUCUUUUCUGAAGGAAGAACACAAUGACGGUACUUCAGGAAUAAGCCCCGGCUAACUACGUGCCAGCAGCCGCGGUAAUACGUAGGGGGCGAGCGUUGUCCGAAUUCACUGGGCGUAAAGCGCGCGUAGGCGGACUAUUAAGUUGAUGGUGAAAUCCCGGGGCUCAACCUCGGAACUGCCUUCAAAACUGAUAGUCUUGAGGUUUGGAGAGGGAAUUGGAAUUCCAGGUGUAGCGGUGAAAUGCGUAGAUAUCUGGAGGAACACCCAUGGCGAAGGCAGAUUCCUGGCCAUAUCCUGACGCUGAGGUGCGAAAGCUAGGGUAGCGAACGGGAUUAGAUACCCCGGUAGUCCUAG
rnacentral:rRNA from 1 species